AGCAGCCGCGGUAAUUCCAGCUCCAAUAGCGUAUAUUAAAGUUGUUGCAGUUAAAAAGCUCGUAGUUGAAUUUCGGGAUCAAUGCGUCGGUCGUGCUUUCGGGUACGUACUGGUGUCAUUGGUUUCUCCUUUCUGACGAGCCGUGAUGUCAUUAAUUUGGUGUUACGGGUAGUUAGGACUGUUACUUUGAAAAAAUUAGAGUGUUUAAAGCAAGCUAACGCUUGAAUACAUUAGCAUGGAAUAAUGAAAUAGGACGUUCGAUCCUAUUUUGUUGGUUUCUAGGAUUGACGUAAUGAUUAAUAGGGAUAGUUGGGGGCAUUAGUAUUCAAUUGUCAGAGGUGAAAUUCUUGGAUUAUUGGAAGACUAACUACUGCGAAAGCAUUUGCCAAGGAUGUUUUCAUUAAUCAAGAACGAAGAUUAGGGGAUCGAAGACGAUCAGAUACCGUCGUAGUCUUAACCAUAAACUAUGCCGACUAGGGAUCGGAUGAUGUUAAUUUUUUAAUGACUCAUUCGGCGCCUU
rnacentral:rRNA from 1 species